rnacentral:rRNA from 1 species
UGAACGCUGGCGGCAUGCCUUACACAUGCAAGUCGAACGGCAGCACGGGUGCUUGCACCUGGUGGCGAGUGGCGAACGGGUGAGUAAUACAUCGGAACAUGUCCUGUAGUGGGGGAUAGCCCGGCGAAAGCCGGAUUAAUACCGCAUACGAUCUACGGAUGAAAGCGGGGGACCUUCGGGCCUCGCGCUAUAGGGUUGGCCGAUGGCUGAUUAGCUAGUUGGUGGGGUAAAGGCCUACCAAGGCGACGAUCAGUAGCUGGUCUGAGAGGACGACCAGCCACACUGGGACUGAGACACGGCCCAGACUCCUACGGGAGGCAGCAGUGGGGAAUUUUGGACAAUGGGCGAAAGCCUGAUCCAGCAAUGCCGCGUGUGUGAAGAAGGCCUUCGGGUUGUAAAGCACUUUUGUCCGGAAAGAAAUCCUUGGCUCUAAUACAGUCGGGGGAUGACGGUACCGGAAGAAUAAGCACCGGCUAACUACGUGCCAGCAGCCGCGGUAAUACGUAGGGUGCGAGCGUUAAUCGGAAUUACUGGGCGUAAAGCGUGCGCAGGCGGUUUGCUAAGACCGAUGUGAAAUCUCCGGGCUCAACCUGGGAACUGCAUUGGUGACUGGCAGGCUAGAGUAUGGCAGAGGGGGGUAGAAUUCCACGUGUAGCAGUGAAAUGCGUAGAGAUGUGGGAGGAAUACCGAUGGCGAAAGCAGCCCCCUGGGCCAAUACUGACGCUCAUGCACGAAAGCGUGGGGGAGCAAACAGGAUUAGAUACCCUGGUAGUCCACGCCCUAAACGAUGUCAACUAGUUGUUGGGGAUUCAUUUCCUUUAGUAACGUAGCUAACGCGUGAAGUUGACCGCUGGGGAGUACGGUCGCAAGAUUAAAACUCAAAGGAAUUGACGGGGACCCGCACAAGCGGUGGAUGAUGUGGAUUAAUUCGAUGCAACGCGAAAAACCUUACCUACCCUUGACAUGGUCGGAAUCCCGCUGAGAGGUGGGAGUGCUCGAAAGAGAACCGGCGCACAGGUGCUGCAUGGCUGUCGUCAGCUCGUGUCGUGAGAUGUUGGGUUAAGUCCCGCAACGAGCGCAACCCUUGUCCUUAGUUGCUACGCAAGAGCACUCUAAGGAGACUGCCGGUGACAAACCGGAGGAAGGUGGGGAUGACGUCAAGUCCUCAUGGCCCUUAUGGGUAGGGCUUCACACGUCAUACAAUGGUCGGAACAGAGGGUUGCCAACCCGCGAGGGGGAGCUAAUCCCAGAAAACCGAUCGUAGUCCGGAUUGCACUCUGCAACUCGAGUGCAUGAAGCUGGAAUCGCUAGUAAUCGCGGAUCAGCAUGCCGCGGUGAAUACGUUCCCGGGUCUUGUACUCACCGCC